CAGCCGCCGCGGUAAUACCAGCCCCGCGAGUGGUCGGGACGGUUAUUGGGCCUAAAGCGCCCGUAGCCGGCCCGGCAAGUCCCUCCUUAAAGCCUCGGGCCCAACCCGAGGACGGGGGGGAUACUGCCGGGCUAGGGGGCGGGAGAGGCCGGCGGUACUCCCGGGGUAGGGGCGAAAUCCGUUAAUCCCGGGAGGACCACCAGUGGCGAAGGCGGCCGGCGGGAACGCGCCCGACGGUGAGGGGCGAAAGCCGGGGGAGCGAACCGGAUUAGAUACCCGGGUAGUCCCGGCUGUAAACGAUGCGGGCUAGCUGUGGGGCGGGCUUAGAGCCCACCCAGUGGCGCAGGGAAGCCGUUAAGCCCGCCGCCUGGGGAGUACGGCCGCAAGGUUGAAACUUAAAGGAAUUGGCGGG
rnacentral:rRNA from 1 species